rfam:Paenibacillus mucilaginosus 3016, complete genome.
AGCACCUUUAAAAACAGUCCCGUGAGGCUGGCAAGGUGAACGAUGAAUCGGAUUCUCCACUCGGAGCAUUUCCGCUGGCGCUGCCAUGCGUAGAAAUCUCCCUGGGACGGUUCUGUUCGGGUGUACACAUAACCUUGCCAUGACGGCAAGGUUAUUUUAUUU